rnacentral:rRNA from 1 species
UACGGAGGGUGCAAGCGUUAUCCGGAAUUAUUGGGCGUAAAGAGCUCGUAGGCGGUUUGUCGCGUCUGCCGUGAAAGUCCGGGGCUCAACUCCGGAUCUGCGGUGGGUACGGGCAGACUAGAGUGAUGUAGGGGAGACUGGAAUUCCUGGUGUAGCGGUGAAAUGCGCAGAUAUCAGGAGGAACGCCGAUGGCGAAGGCAGGUCUCUGGGCAUUAACUGACGCUGAGGAGCGAAAGCAUGGGGAGCGAACAGG